GAGGCUCAGCCGCUCGCGGUGGAGAAAGCAGGCCGCGGAGGAGGCGGGCGCCCAGGCCUGCCCGGACAGGAAGUGGGCCCAGCUUUCCCACUCCUCGCUCCGCUCCUUCCUCCGCGGGAAGGGCAGGCCCCGGAGGCAGCGAGCGCCCCGGGGGUGGCCGGGCAGCCGGAUGCUCCCGGGGUUGCGGGCUGUGGCCCCGGGGGCUGAGGGCGGCGCGGGUGCGGCGGAAGCAGGGAAGCCGCGAACCGGCCUUCUGGCUGGCCACAGCGCCCUGCACGGACGAUCAGUGAAUGGAGAUUACUCAAGUAUUUAUCGAGAACUUGCAGUGGGCUAGGCACAGUUCAGGUAGAUCAACAAACCGAAAGACCCUGCCCUAGGGGAGCUUUCGCUCCAAUGCGGGGAGAGGGUGGAUGAUUGCAGUUUUGCCCAGUAAUUUUUGGGACCCUCAUGCCACCAUUAAUUAGCUACACACAUUUCACCGAAAGUCUACCUUACAUAUUAAUCAGAAGAAGUGGAAGAAUAAACACAGAAGAAGCAAAAAAGGAAGGAACUUUCUCACUGAAAGUUUCUAUUUAAUAUUAAGUCUUAAAAGUACUCCUGGAAGGACAAAAGGUGUUCUUAAUAAAUUAUAUUCGCAAAUAUUGGAUUUAAUCCUACCAGUAAUGAAGCAGUCAGUUACUUUCUAGAUGUGCAGAAAUACGUAAUGAACAAAAAAAACUAAUUCCUAUUCCAUUUUUUAUUAGGUCCACAGUUAUUUCACUUCUAAAUAAAUAUGGUUUUUUAAAAGUGGCACGCGGUGGAAUGUAAUUGAGACAGGAUGGAGUUCCUAGAGAAAUUUUACUUCCUCAAUCUGCACUCCACCUUACUUAAAAUACAGUCUUGGGUCUGUAAUUCCCUUAUCUGACUCUCAAGGAAAUGACAAAGUAAUGCCUAGAUUGGACUAAACCUCAUUUAACUUCAAGGCUGACCUUUCUCAAAGUUGAACCUUCGUCUUGUGAGGAACAGAAAGAUCAAGAACUCUGAAGCACCUCGACUUUCCACCUGUGAAGAUGUGUUCAAAUUUGCAACGUGCGGCCACACCUAUGAGGUCACUCCCUCUGGAGGAAACCAGCUGCCACUUUGUGAGGAUACUCAUAGUCCUGUGGAGGCAUAUCCUCCAUAUGGCUGAGACCUCCUGCGAACAACCAUCACUGACUUGCCAGACAUGAGUGUGCCACCUUGGAAGCAGAUUUUCCAGCCCCAGUUAAGCCUUCAGAUGACAUCAGCCCCUGCUAAUCUCUUGACUACAACCUCAUGAGAGACCCUGAGCCAGAACUAGCCAGGCUUACCCCUCAUGGUUACAAAGUGGCUGCAACAGCUCCAGGUGUUCUAUCCUUUAACACAGAAUAACUCAAACAACAAGACCCAAUAUUCAGACAAGAAGGAAAGGGACUUUUGGAGAGUGAAGAAAACUUUCCUAGAAACCUCAAACUUCUCCCCAUGCCUUAUUGGCCAGAUUGUAUCCCAUGCCCAUUUCUAAACCAAUCAUUGGCAAAGUGAGUGGAAUUGACGUGAUUAGAUUAACUUUACCAAGAAUGCAUCCUCAGAGAGGCUGAGAAAAAGUCCAGCCUCCUUUGAAGAGCCUGGCUACCUUUCACCUGAACAAAACAAGAAUUCUGAUGAAAAAUGGAGAAUGUAUGUGGAGCAGGCACCCGGAGUGUCUAUGCCAGGAUUUUUUUUCAGUGCGUUUCACCGGUUAUAUUUUUGUCUCUUUACCUUACAAGAUAUGUGGCACGUUUGCCUAAAACAAGCCUUGCUUUCUGAUUUCUGUGCACUAGGCACUUAAACCUUGCAAAUGUCGCUUACCUAACAGUCACUGUCAAGGAGUACCUGGCUAAAGAAUCUCCAGCUAGACAAAGUAGAAGUGUCUGUGCUCUGGCAGUUGAAUAUAUUGUAUCAGGCUCAACAGCACCUUUCACCAAAGGAUGAGACUUCACAACCAUUAGAUCUUCUUUUAUUUUGUUUUUAUUAAAAAAAAAAAUUUUAACACACCAUUGCUAACUUGAAGCCAUUAGAUCUUCUUACCCCCAAUACCACAAAAGUUUAGUGGAAUCAGGGGUAUACCAAGGCAGGUGGAGUAGGGGAGCUGGGAGUGGUCAGCCCCCAGGGCAGGCAAUGAGGGAUUGUGAAUCUGUGAAGAAUUUUAAAGCAAUGAUACAGCUCUAAAUGCAAUGUACUAUCCUGGACUUAGCCCUGGAAAAGAAAAAAGAUAUUAGUGGAAAAACUGGUAAAAUUCAAAUAAUGUCUGUAGUUUGGUUAAUAGUAUUAUACCAAUGUUAAUUUCUGUGUUUUGAUAAAUGUACCAUGGUUAUGUAAGCUGGAUGAAAGAUAUGUGGGAAAUCUCUCUACUAUUUCUGCAACUCUCCUGUAAACCUAAAAAUGUUUCAAAAUAAAAGAUUUAAUGCUAAAAUUGA
rnacentral:lncRNA from 1 species